CUAAUGGAGAUCAGACCCGCCAGCCAGCGAUAAUGGAGAAUGGAAUCGGAUCUGAUCAGAUUAUUAACCAGACAAAUCAAAAUGAGUGCAUUUCUUUUGUGACUUCUAUAAGUUGGAGGAAUGACAAUACGUUUUACCUAUCUCUAGGCUGAAAGAGAUGGGGAACAGUCAAGUGGACAAGGGGUUGCAAAUACUGGUGGACAUAUUCCAGUCGUUCUUUCUGUUCCUCGAAACUAUCAAGGAAGUUUAACUCUGCAAGAUUCUGGAGACCAUCGGUUCCUGAGAGCUGAGGACCUAAGAGUAUCUGUUAAUGCAAAUGUUUCAUGGAUGAGACGAAAUCAGAUUUUGGCGCUGUUAAAGAACGCCGGAAUAUUCCAGUUGAGCUUCAGUGAGUUACCUGAUUUUACACAGACAUGCCGCAGGCCUGUCAUUACUAUAGCAACAGAAGCACUUGGGGAAGUUGCAAUGACAACCGAGUAUUCUUCAACUCUCAAAAUACUAAAAGAACGUGGCCCUAGAAAGUUAAAGAUUGCUGGAGUUAUCAUAGAUUGUCAUGAAGUGAAAGGGGACCGGUGGGGCCGAAGGCGCUACACUAUCGAUGGCAGGGUCCAUGUGCUGGAGUGGACGGCUAAAAGAAUUCCACAAGAGGGGCAGGGGCAGCGCACGGUUAGAACCAGAAGUACGUCGUACGCAAGGCUAGUGGAAUCGAAUGAGAGUGUGAUUGAAUCCAACGCGAGGCUAAUGGAAUCCAAUGCCAGUGUGGUGGCAUCCAGUGCAAGUCUGGUGGCGUCGAACGAAAGACUGGAGACCGCAAUGACACUCCUUCUGGAAUGCGGCAGGGACCUUAUUGACCGCCUUGUAGGUCUCAACAGAACUGAUUUGUGCAGGAUAAAACGGAACCGGACAGUCCAAAAUAUACACGGUACUAUUUGAGUUGGAUGGGAUGAAACACAAGGAACCUGACAGUCUGAAACCGAGCUGGCAUUUUCUAUACUUUAGUUGUAUAUAUAGGUAGAUGGUACGAGUAUUCUUGGCAGUAGAAUACUAUCAAUCGUUCCUUUUUUUUCUCUCUUUGUAAGUGCCGUUUUUACCUGAAACAACUAGAUAACAUAGUAUGCUAUUUUUGGGCACCGGAGUGCAC